GACGGUGGAGCAUGUGGUUUAAUUCGAAGCAACGCGCAGAACCUUACCAGCUCUUGACAUGGCAGGACGGUUUCCGGAGACGGACUCCUUCACUUCGGUGACCUGCACACAGGUGCUGCAUGGCUGUCGUCAGCUCGUGUCGUGAGAUGUUGGGUUAAGUCCCGCAACGAGCGCAACCCUCGCCUCUAGUUGCCAGCAUUCAGUUGGGCACUCUAGAGGGACUGCCGGUGAUAAGCCGAGAGGAAGGUGGGGAUGACGUCAAGUCCUCAUGGCCCUUACGGGCUGGGCUACACACGUGCUACAAUGGCGGUGACAGUGGGCAGCCAACCAGCGAUGGUGCGCUAAUCCCAAAAAGCCGUCUCAGUUCGGAUUGCACUCUGCAACUCGAGUGCAUGAAGUCGGAAUCGCUAGUAAUCGUAGAUCAGCAUGCUACGGUGAAUACGUUCCCGGGUUUU
rnacentral:rRNA from 1 species